GACGAACGCUGGCGGCGUGCCUAAUACAUGCAAGUCGAACGCUUCUUUCCUCCCGAGUGCUUGCACUCAAUUGGAAAGAGGAGUGGCGGACGGGUGAGUAACACGUGGGUAACCUACCCAUCAGAGGGGGAUAACACUUGGAAACAGGUGCUAAUACCGCAUAACAGUUUAUGCCGCAUGGCAUAAGAGUGAAAGGCGCUUUCGGGUGUCGCUGAUGGAUGGACCCGCGGUGCAUUAGCUAGUUGGUGAGGUAACGGCUCACCAAGGCCACGAUGCAUAGCCGACCUGAGAGGGUGAUCGGCCACACUGGGACUGAGACACGGCCCAGACUCCUACGGGAGGCAGCAGUAGGGAAUCUUCGGCAAUGGACGAAAGUCUGACCGAGCAACGCCGCGUGAGUGAAGAAGGUUUUCGGAUCGUAAAACUCUGUUGUUAGAGAAGAACAAGGACGUUAGUAACGGAACGUCCCCGGACGGUAUCUAACCAGAAAGCCACGGCUAACUACGG
rnacentral:rRNA from 1 species